UUGAAGGAAAGAGCUUAGGGAGGUUCGAUUUUGUGGUAAUAGUUGGCCAAUUUCGCCGCCUCCGGUAUGGGGGAGUAGCGCGGCGGUGAGAGUUCUUCAAGAUAGAAGCGUGAACUCGGAGGUGUUCUUCAAGAUGAUUCACGGUGGAGAUGUUUGUACGUCCGGGGGCGAUGUCGAUUGUGGCGAUGUCGAUCGUGCCGAUGACGUUUCCGGAUGCAAGGUAAUUCGUCGUUCUCUUUCGAUUUGAAAAGGAAGACUGAGGUAUUGUGGCGUUUGGAGUGCCGGACCGGGUUCGUUGAUUGUUUGUAUCAUUCAGCUUGGGCCUAUAGGCCCAAAAUCGCUC
rnacentral:lncRNA from 1 species